UAGGGAAUAUUGGACAAUGGGUGAGAGCCUGAUCCAGCCAUGCCGCGUGCAGGAAGAAGGCGUUAUGCGUUGUAAACUGCUUUUUGCCAGGGGAUAAAAUGACCGUGCGCGGUUAAUUGAAGGUACCUGGUGAAUAAGCCACGGCUAACUACGUGCCAGCAGCCGCGGUAAUACGUAUGGAGCGAGCGUUGUCCGGAAUUAUUGGGCGUAAAGGGUACGCAGGCGGUUUAAUAAGUCGAAUGUUAAAGAUCGGGGCUCAACCCCGUAAAGCAUUGGAAACUGAUAAACUUGAGUAGUGGAGAGGAAAGUGGAAUUCCUAGUGUAGUGGUGAAAUGCGUAGAUAUGUGGAGGAAUACCGAUGGCGAAGGCAGCCCCCUGGGAUAACACUGACGCUCAUGCACGAAAGCGUGGGGAGCAAACAGGAUUAGAUACCCAAGUAGUCCCUGAGCGGGCUGGCAAGGCGCAU
rnacentral:rRNA from 1 species